ensembl:lncRNA
CGCAGCUCUGUCCAGACCUUCUGGCUUCUGUGGUGGGAAAUGGUCCCACUGCAUCCAUAAAUGACCAGGGACAGGUGGACCCUGAGGACAUCAGGCUGCUGUCAGGAAGGGACCUGGUUGCUGAAUAGCCUCGGGUGACAAAGGGACGUUUCAGACACCUGGACAUGAUCUGACUGAGCUGUCUCUGGGACAUGCAUCCUGGCAGGGUGUGUGUGUGCGUGUGUGUGUGUGUGCAUGCAUGCAUGUGUGUGUGCAUGAGUGUGUGUGCAUGCAUGCAUGUGUGUGUUCAUAUGUGUGCAUGUGUGUGUGUGUGCACAUGAGUGUCAUUUAAAAAGCUGUGGCAGAUCUGAGUUGACGCAUUAGCCCUUUCUCACCCAGCCCCUUCCCAACCAAAGGGAUGACAGCGGAGGGUGCAGUCUGGCAGGUUUGUCCACUUGGGUUUUCAGGUCAUGACCUGGUUCACAGACUACUCUCUAGUCUAAUAAACUGACCAGUGGCCGGUUCCACACUCUGCCGUUGUGACCCCGUGACAAUGUCACCUAUAUUCGAGAUCCUUCCAAGAUCUUCCCCGAGCUGCAUGUGGCUGUGCUGAUGGACACGGAAUUUCGUAGUGAUUUCUUCUGGAGACUCGGAUCAUUGUUGAUGCUGCUUCUCCAGGGAGACAGGCUUGCGAGGGUGAUAUGUUCCUCCUGUGUAAGUGACGUAUGUGGACAUGGUGGGCCUUGUGUUCAUGUCAGAGGAACGUCUUGUUCAGGGUCACUCAGCUGCCAAGGGGACUGUCCGGGUUCCACUUCAGAUCUGCCCUCUAGAGCCUGGCUCCUUCUUGGGACAACCACCUCCUCUGCCACCUGUGACGGCACCACCCAGGACACCAGGUCAAGGUCUGGGGUGGCCACCACAGUAAUUCAGGCUUCCAGAGAUGAGCCUCCACCCACGGCCCUGCCAGGGCUUCUAGGGUCCGUUCUCCAGCCGAGGACUGGCAGGUAUCCACACAUGCGGAGGGCCAGCAGCUCGGAAACAGGGUCUCCACGCUCCCUGGAACAUGGUGAGUUAGCUGCCUGGGAGCUCUGGUCGCAUAGGAACAAUGCCGAGGCUUUAAACUGGGAAAAAACUGAGAUCUCGACCAGCCCCUCAGGUAAACCCCCCGAAGUCGGAAGUGGGCACCGGCUGCACCAGCAGUAACAGUGUGACGGGAAGCAAGGUCGCGUCCAGGGACGUCCUUGGAUGUUUCCUCCAUUUAAAAUGACUUUCAUCUUACAGAAAGUGGAAUGUUCUGUAUUAUUGCAUCAUAGUAGAAUACGAAGCACCAUCACUCCCUUGGCUUAAUGACACUGGCACUGAUAUUUUGGAAAUAAUGAUUUUUCCUAGUUUAGAAUGUAAAAGGUAUUAUUAUAGAAACGUCGUUCACAAGCUCCUCACUCAGAGGGUGCCUGUGAUAACAAUUGAGUAUCUUCACAUGAAGUUGGAAGGACGUUGUAUGUGUUUACCCGGCUUUCCACUCAACGUGCAGCGUGCACACGGUCCUGUCACAGAAGUCCUGAGGAGAUGAGAGAUGGCAUGGCUCAGCGAUCGCCGCUGGAGGAGGACAUUUACGUUAAAGCUACAAAGUGCAGAGGAAUCAUCGUCACAGACGUCGACAGCGUCACCGUUAGGAGGAAGGAAAUAAGAUGGGCAGGUCCAGUUGCUGGUGACAUUCUCCGUCAUAACUCCAGGAGAAGUACCUUUUCCCCCGUCUAAAUACUGCGUUAUAAUCUAUGUUUAAAUCAUACAUAGAUGUUUAAGGCACCAUUUUGUAGAUAUGGUAGUUUAAAAGUAGAUGUUAAAUGUAGAUAUUUCAGUUUAAAAGUAGUUUAAAUUUUUUUAGAGAAAUGUUUCUGGGAGCUUUUUGUUCUUCUAAUGUUAUUUUACUAAUGUAUCAGAAUAAGGGUAGUUCUUAUCCACUAACUAUAUGUCCUGACACGAGGACUGUUCAUGGCCGCUGGACCGCAUCCCAUCUGCGGGAGUUCACACUCCGACUGGAAGGCCUGGGACGCUACCACAUCAGUCUGUGCUGCGGUUUCUUCUUCUUAGAUGAAUCAACAGGGUCCCUACUCAGAGUCGGGAAAGUGCCUUAGAGUGAGCACCCUCCGAUGCUCGUGAGCUGGUCCAACAAGGAGCUCCAUGUGGUCACUCUGACCUGAGGGAAGUCUCUAAGCAACAGGAUUUUUCCCUGUGGGACGUAAUUCUGCACCUGCCCAAGGUGAAAUUAAGCGAGAGCUCUCACGGAUGCUGGCGUGUGAGAGCCACUGCUCACAGCCCCGGCACAAUCGCUCCCUGUAGCAAGAACCAGCCCAGAGCCACCAGGCUGCUUUUGGUGCACCUGCCCUCUUCGGGGCCUGGGGAUGCGGUGGCCCCAGCUCGGUCUUGGAAUUGCUCUGCCCUCCUAUUCCUGGGCACCACACACAAAACCCCCAGCCAUGCACAGCUGCUGAUGCCAUGCAGCAUCAUUUUUCAAAAUAAAGCCAAUUGCCAGGCUGGAUUUCAGAAAUUCCCUGACGGGCCUGGCAAAAAGUGACCCCCAGGCUCCCGCAGGUGUGUGAGGGGGCCAGAGAGCAGAGGUGCAGACGGCCAAGGCCAGAAGUGGCUGCAGGUGGGAAUCAGCCAGCAGAUGGCCCUCCCUGGAAGCUCCUUCUCACUCGACUAACGCCAGUGGAGUUUUCACAGGUGACUUGCCCUUCUUCAACUCCUCACGCAAUCUCAUGAAGCCAAAACAUGGGCACUUUGUGAGUCUGUCUUGGCAGGAGUUUCACUGGACCUUUCUGGAGCACCUCCUUCCCACAGGCCCGCGGUGGAGGCACUGGGGACAGGCAACGAGGUCCCUGUCCUGGGGCAGCCGCUCCAGUGCAAGACUCAGGAGGCAGGAGGAGGGCUGCUUCCUGCCUGGAGUGGGAGCCCGGGAGAAGGAAAAGGAAGCCUAUGGGCUACCACCAGGAGGACAGAUCAGACAAACCCCAGAGGGCCUGUGCCGGGCAUCACUGUGCCUAUAAAAACAAGGCCCUGAGGCUUCAUGGAGCCACGGAGAACUUGGCCCCUGGGAUGUGAGGACUCUUGCAGCUCAAGAACCUUCUCAGAGAUGAGCAACCAAAGGGGUGUGCACCAGACCCCGGUUUAAUCUUUCCCACUUCCAAAUAUUAUGACGCUUUAAAAAUAGGAUUGGUCCCUCAAAGGCUAUAGCAUUCUUGAGUAGAAUUAGUCGCCGCAGUCCCAACCUCUGUCAGACUUUCCUUCUCAGAAUCAAACGCCAGUAGGACAUGGGGUAUUUCAUCAAAAGAUCAGAGAGGGACACAGAUUUCAGGAGACAGGCUGGGAGCUGGCACCGAUGGAAACCAGCUGUGGGAACAGGCUCAUUAUCUUCUCCUGCUUUUGUGUGUGCCUGGAAAUGUCCAUAAUAAGCAGAAAGAAUAAGAAAAAGGAAAAGAAAGGAAAAUGACAAUUACUGCUGUUCCUGCGAAAGAAAACUAAGCCUUAACCACCCUUCCUUCUCUCUCUCAAGCUCUGUGGUAUCCUUGAAGACCGAGAGCCUCACCAUCACAGUAUCCACAGGACACUGCAGCCAGCAGCCCUGGAGGGGCAGAACGGGUUUGGAGCUUCCCAGCAGCCCCAUGCCUAGAGUCUCGUCUUCAUGCCACCUGGCCCAGAGUCUGCCGGCUGUGAG